rnacentral:rRNA from 1 species
GAAAACUUUACAAUGCUGGAAACAGCGAUAAGGGAACCUCGAGUGCCAGGUUACAAAUCUGGCUGUCGUGAUGCCUAAAAGGCAUUGCAUAGCAAGGGCCGGGCAAGACCGGUGCCAGCCGCCGCGGUAACACCGGCGGCUCGAGUGGUAACCGUUAUUAUUGGGUCUAAAGGGUCUGUAGCCGGCCGGAUAAGUCUCUUGGGAAAUCUGGCAGCUUAACUGUCAGGCUUUCAGGAGAUACUGUCUGGCUCGAGGCCGGGAGAGGUGAGAGGUACUUCAGGGGUAGGGGUGAAACCUUGUAAUCCUUGAAGGACCACCAGUGGCGAAGGCGUCUCACCAGAACGGACCUGACGGCAAGGGACGAAAGCUAGGGGCACGAACCGGAUUAGAUACCCGGGUAGUCCUAGCCGUAAACGAUACUCGCUAGGUGUCGGCCACGGUGCGACCGUGGUCGGUGCCGUAGGGAAGCCGUGAAGCGAGCCACCUGGGAAGUACGGCCGCAAGGCUGAAACUUAAAGGAAUUGGCGGGGGAGCAC